AAUCUCAUUAUGACUUGGUCGUUCGGAAGAGAUUCUUUCUCGAUCAGAAUAGUGGAAUGGAAGGCACUACAAGAAAGAUAUACUCCUUUUCAAAUCGCCCCGCGAAGACGGACGUUCAGAAAGGUUCUCGAGAUUCUCAAUCGUCCAGGCGUGCGGGAAGGGAGCGAGACCAAGCCGAGCCAGACGGAGAGUAAGCCCUUCCCACGUGUCAAGUUGAAUAAAUGAAUGCAGCCUCAACCAGAGAGAUCAACCUGCGCCUUUGAUUUUAGGCCGCCGGCGGCGCAGAACGAACUAAUCCGCGACCGGCAAGUUUUCCGAAACCGAACUGAAUUGAAUUGUUACUUAAAAAAAAAUGCUUGCCAAAGAAAGAAGGUCCAUUUUCCCACGUAGUUCGUCGGUCAAACCAACGAUUCUAUUCUCAAAGUAAUAGAGAGAGUCUUUCUUUUUCUAGUUACACUUCUAUCAAUGCAAUGAAAGAACCAUCCCUUCCUAUUUGUUUGUCCUGUCAGAUAGAAAGAAAAUGUGACCCCAAAGAGCCCUUCUUUACCACUUUAGGGGGUGGGGGUGAAGGGGGGGUUUACAUACAACCGAGGCAAAGUGGUUUAUGAUUGAAUCUCAGAGGCAUUCUUAUCAUUUGGUAGAUCCAAGUCCAUGGCCUAUUUCGGGUUCACUCGGAGCUUUGGCAACCACCGUAGGAGGUGUGAUGUACAUGCACCCAUUUCAAGGGGGUGCAACACUUCUCAGUUUGGGCCUCAUAUUUAUCCUAUAUACCAUGUUCGUAUGGUGGCGCGAUGUUCUACGUGAAUCCACGUUGGAAGGACAUCAUACCAAAGUCGUACAAUUAGGACCUCGAUAUGGUUCUAUUCCGUUCAUCGUAUCGGAGGUUAUGUUCCUUUUUGCUCUUUUUCGGGCUUCUUCUCAUUCUUCUUUGGCACCUACGGUAGAGAUCGGAGGUAUUUGGCCCCCAAAAGGGAUUUGGGUUUUAGAUCCUCGGGAAAUCCCUUUUCUUAAUACCCCUAUUCCCCCUUCAUCCGGAGCUGCCGUAACUUGGGCUCAUCAUGCUAUACUCGCGGGGAAGGAAAAACGAGCAGUUUACGCUUUAGUAGCUACCGUUUCACUGGCUCUAGUAUCCACUGGCUUUCAAGGAAUGGAAUAUUACCAAGCACCCUCCACUAUUUCGGAUAGUAUUUAUGGUUCUACCUUUUUCUUAGCAACUGGCUUUCAUGGUUUUCAUGUGAUUAUAGGUACUCUUUUCUCGAUCAUAUGUGGUAUUCGCCAAUAUCUUGGUCAUCUGACCAAGGAGCAUCACGUUGGCUUUGAAGCAGCUGCAUGGUACUGGCAUUUUGUAGACGUGGUUCGGUUAUUCCCAUUUGUCUCUAUCUAUUGGUGGGGAGGUAUAUGAGAGAACGAAUCAGUGGAUUGAGGAAUGAAAGCUCGAAGACAAAGAGAACCGGGCUUUUCCAAAGAAUUACUGCAGCUUUCCCACUCCCUUUGAUUAUCAUAUACAAAAAAGUCUCUUCCACUUCCCUACCAAAUCUCUCUGUAUUCUGGCACAUAAAUGAAGGGAUCGAAGAGAUUAUGGCAGAUCAUGUUCACCAAGAAAUGACCCGAAAUUGGAUCUUGGUCUAUUUGAGAUUGUUCCUUUUAAUCGUAAUCAAAGAUGUUUUCUUGUCUCUCGUUUCUUUUCCGAACAAAUCGAAGAACCUAAUGGAUCGAACUCAUCCUUGGCUGCUACGAAACAUAUCGGCCUUGCGUUGCGGAAGGAACGUUCUGUUCUGAGUUGGAGGCUGAGACUGAGAGCAAGCAACCUCGUUUUGCCCUUUCCUUCACGGCACGGCCCUGCUCGCCAGGAGGCAACGGAAGUUCAUGGCCGGAGGCACAGAUCGGUCCGAAGCGAGCAGCAAGCUGAAAACGUAAGCAGCGUAGAAAACCCCUAACCUAGCGAAGCGAAGAAACUUACUAAGCGAAGAAAACAAGCAACGGCCUUACUCAACCAAGCAACGGAUGAGCCCAAUGGAGAGUAAGCUGAUCGUAGAGCACCGUUGCGCGGGAGCGCAUCCAAGAAGAAAGUCCUUCCGCUAGCGCGAAGAACCAAGCAACGGCUAGCUGAUCGUAGAGCACUCUCUCCCGGUGGUCGAGCUGAUCGUAGAGCACUCUCUCCCGGUGGUCGAGCUGCCUCCGUGUGCCCUUUAUUAGUAAGGGGCAAGCACUUGGGCGGAGUAAAGCUGAUCGUAGAGCACCGUUGCGCUAACGCGCGCGCUGUAGUUUUUCAGCUAGCCUCCGGGCUUGAAAGCCUACGUUUGCUGGCUUAACAGCAGCGAGCUCCGCUUUCAGAAGCGAGCCAGAGUAGCGCGCUAGCCUAUCACAUCUUGAAGCUCCGCGCUCUAGAGCGUUUUUAAAGGCGGCUAUGCUACUAGCGCGCUAGCCUUUUUCCGCAGGCUGCUAGUUGUAGCGCGCGUACUCUUCUUCUGUUCUACGAAUCUACAGAUCUCAAAAUCGAAGAACGAGCUAGGGUGACGAAAAGAUAGAAGCGUUAUGACUCGAUGACUAAGCGUGAUGAUUAGAGACUCCAUGGAUUCUUAAAAAUUGUUGCCAUACUUUUUAGGAAUUAAAAAAAGGGUUGGGCUAGCACUUAGACAGUGCGAGCUCGGCCAAGAGCUGUUGAAUACUUUAUUAUUCAAUCAUUUGAGAACCGAAUGAGCAGUAGAUGAGUUUAUAACAGAACAAAGAAGCCUAACCUUCUGUUCAGCCAAGAGAGGAAUCAAUAAUAGGUGGUUUCAUUAGAAGCCAGGGCGCGGAGCCCGCUACGCUCAGUCAAGGAACGAGGAAAAGCAAAAUGGAAUGAAUGGUUGAAGUGACUGAUGAGUGAGAGCGCUACGAAGAGCAAGUGCUUUCUCAACACUGAUAAUACGAUGCCCCAGGAAAAAACGACGGCCGAGCGCGUAGAGCAACAAGUUAUUGCGGGCAGGAGUUUCAAAUCCAUGAACUUCGUACAGAGCAUCUCGGAGGAAGAUGAGCAAUUGGAGCGGAAAAACAAAGAUUUUGUCCAUUUACCACCGAAAAACAAUAAUACCUUUGUGACCGUGACGGAUGCUAGGGGGAAUAAAAAAACUGGGGCUUCCGCAGGUUGUUUGGAGGAAAUCAAAGGGGGGUCUCGUCUUUCUCGGUAUGCUGCUGAAGCAACUGCAGAACAUGUCGGGCGAUCCGCCAGAAAUCUGGGGAUGAAGUCGGUUGUAAUGAAAGUGAAAGGAUCUACUUUUUUCAGGAAAAAGAAAGCAGUGAUCUUGAGCUGGAGAGAAGGUUAUACCUUUGCUGAGUGUAAGCGAAGUGAAGGAGUAGGAGAUCAAUCUAAAAUUAUGUACAUCCACGAUGUGACCCAACUUCCACAUAAUGGAUGCCGACUCCCCAGGAAACGUCGUGUUCAAAUAGUUCCAAGAAGUUCUCCAUUUUCACUUGACAACAAUUCCGGAAAAAAUCUGACUCGGAGGGAGUACGCGCGCUAGCGGCGGGGUUCGAUAAAGUGUUGGCGCGCUAGCGCGCUAGCCUUUUGAAGCAGCUAGCAGAUUCUGAAGAAAUGAGCUUCAGGCUGUGUAGUCUGAUGCAGCUGGAUGAAGCCCUUACGUAAUAGGGCGGAUGGGAGGCUGGAAAGAAACCAGAGGUAUGACGGGGAUAAUCUUUUCAGUUAUAGACUAGGUCCUGUUAUGCCAAACAAACUGGCCUGUGGUGACUGCUCGAUGGAGCCGUUGCCCCAGCCUGCGCAAGAAACUUUGAGUUCUGUAGGCCAGUCGUCAGGUCAGUAGUUGGGGGUUGUGUCAGUGAGGGGCUGCAAGCAAGUAGAGUCCGAUAGUUAAGGGAAGAGUGAAGAGGCAAGUAGCGCGUUAGGAGUCUAUAGAAACGAAAAAAGCCCAGCUCUACCAUAGAUUAGGCUCGUAGUCAGACGAGCUGAGCUGCAAGAAGUCUACUCGUCGUUGAGUCUUUCCGUCUGCGAGAAUAGCCACCCACUUCGAUUAUCCAGACGAGGAUUCGGUGCCGUCCUAAAACGCUUUGUUUUCAUCUUGACAGAUCCAUCGGUCGUCGUUCGAAUCGGGAGAGGAUGUGGUGGUAACCCCCCUUCGUCUAGAGCCGGGCGUCCAGCCGUGUAGGAAGACUCACCCUAGCCACUAUAGCGACCCCACCCCCAACUGACGCUGAGAAGCACCCUCCAUCCACUUCCCCUUUUCCGUGUGCCCAAAAGCCCGCCCGCCCGGUUUAUGAGCCCCUUUCCGAUUCCCUCACCCAAUCUCAUGAGAAGCAAGCCCAGCAGGCCUUGCCAACACCUGUCCCCAGACAGCCAGCCCUCACCAGGCUGGCAUUGCUAAAUGCUCCGCCACGAAGCAAGCUCUCCCGAAUACGACAGAUGCGGAAGUGGCUAAAGAAGUCGGAGGAAGCGAAGAAGCGAAGAAAAGCCUUACCCCUAUAUAAAAGCGCGCGCCAGAACAAGGCGAGCCAAAGGCUCGCUUUCGCCCAAUUAUUAGUAAGGCGCGCGCCAGAACAAGCAAGCAAGGGAUGAGCCCAAUGGAGAGUAAGCUGCGCGCCAGAACAAGGCGAGCCAAAGGCUCGCUUUCGCCCCGCAGAGAGUCAGGCGCGCGCCAGAACCAA